GGAAUACUCUGAGUUCAAUAUUCAGUAUUUACCGAUCGACAAGAAGUAUGUUGAUACAUGAAGUAUGUUGAUGUGUGUAAAAUGCGUAUUUACAUUUGACUUCAAAGAAAUUUUUUUUAUUAGAAAUUCGUCGUUCGUUUAGUCUUCCAGGCGUUCAGUUUAUUUGCGCUGCGCUGCAACUAACUCGUUUGUUGCUAUUUGUUAUGCAAAUGAAAUUGUAUAUGCCAUUGUGGCCUAUAUGUUUACUUCACGUCUUUUUCUCGCCUUGGCUUUGCUCGCUCCCAACCAAUCGAGAAGAGUGGAACAUUCGACAAACAGAACUUUCUUUAUUAUACCUCUUAGUUACCACACGCGCUGCGAUUGGUCAAAUUAGCGGGCGUAUUCUGCUCCGCUGUAUGGCCGGCUAAAAGUUUUGUCCGAAUGGCCUCCGGCAAGCCGUUUAACUAUUUAUCACUCUGGUCUAUGGCUGUUCUUGAGCCGUAUUAUUUUGAGCCAAACAUGCUCCAAACCCCCAAAAUGAUAACAGUAGAGACAGUGAAGUGGAUAAUCGUCUGGAAAAAAAUACAUUUUGCUGACCUUGUGACGGAUGUAAAGUCAGUUGCAGGUUUUUCUCUUUCCAGCCAAUUUCGAGUCGGAAGGAAUGACAUCACAUAAACAUAACACGGCUACAGUUUCAAAAUAGCGGCCUCCGAAGUCGCUUCUUUCGAGACGAAUUUCUUCAAGGGAGCAGGCACUUCCGAGGCUGAAGCUGAAUGUUUACUUGCUAUUAGCGAAGACAACCAAAGUAAGCUUUAUGGAGUGACCCUCUCCUUUAAGAACAAAAAGUGCAAGGAAAAGACCUUAAAAACAGAUCGUUCAACAUCACAAACUACAAGUCCAGUCUUGUGGACGACGAAUAUGCCUUCCUCGUCUCGAACUACAAAACGUGAUGGUGUCCACACAAACUGUAUUCUCAAUUUCAUCACCUUCUUCGUCAGACAUUCCAGCCACGUCGUCUAAUGAGCCAAGCUGAUUAUCAGUUUCGGAAUGUGAAUCUUUUUCAUCAUUUAUAAGGGCCGUUACUCCUUCGAAUAGUUACCUCUUCUGUGAAAACUAUCUCUUUUUCUUUUUUCCCAACUGGUACAAUUCGAUCCAAAACAAGAAUCACAGCUUCCUUUGGAAAAUCAACAAUGCAAUAUCUGAUGUAAAGAAAGAUGUUUUCUGAUACACAAUAAAUGUCGACAUUGAAGAAAUGAGACUCGUGUUCAUUUUGAACUAUGGAAGAGGUAACAACUCCGAGAUACUGAAAGGUGACGAGCUUGGGAUUCAUGGAUUCCAGGUACUAUAGUUGCCUUUACUGCGCUGGAGAACAGCCUGAUUUAAGUUUAUGUCUUCUUUCACCAUUUUUUUUUUCGGAUUAAUUACGUUUGCCCUUGUGGUUUCCUUUUCCGUCUUUUCCCAUGGGGACAAAGAAAAAUCAGAAAAACCGUAGCUAACUGAAGCCACUGACUAGUGAUCACUGGUUCGGGAAAGAAACCAGGAGGAUUAUCGCUACGUUGUCGAUCAGCUCUGAUAGGUCAGACCAGACCAACUCUGACAGCUCUGGCCUGCACGCUCGCUUGUCUGCAGUGUAAACGACUAGUCACGAGGGGCCAGUCACGCGACUGUCGCGCCAUAUAUAUCAAAGACCAAAGGUGACUAAUACGGGCAAUUUGAGAUUUUCUGGUUACCGGGCCAACCAUGUGUUACUCUUGUGGACCUCUCACGCGAUGUUUAUUCUGUUAGAGAGCAAACAAGUUUCUUACAUCUACAUCCUUUAUAAGAGAAUACAAUGUAAUUUCUGCAUAGGAAAAAAGAAGUCCAAAGGGGUCAAUAUCGUUGUCUUUUCUAGUGCUUCUCGUGUCGCUGUCGAAUUUUAGCCGCGCAUUCGAUUCGCUUGUCGCUGAUAAGCAAUUCUCGCGUCGUUGGUUUUCAGGGUCGUGUCGCUUGUCGCUUUUACCCCUUGGAAGGGCUAACCAUCAGUGUACACCAAAAACAAUAUCAAUUAGCAUUUAAAAGUUAGCGUCACCGUAUCCAUUGAUAGUCUAUUAACACGGAGCCAAUCACGCAACCUGAAGUGUCCAAAUACCUUAUGAAAGGGAUUGACAUGUGUCGCUCAACAUUUAUUUGUCAGAGACUAAGCAAGGUACGAUCGGUUUGUAAAUUUGAUCCUGACUGUUUCAUUAGUUUCUUGCCGAUUUUUUUUUCUUGAAUUGAGCCGAUUUAAGUCAACAAUGCGUCCAUUGAUUAUUUUACUCAUCGCUAAUACCACUUUGCUGUGCUCCUAUGUCAGUGGAGUUGAUGCAGAUGAUGACGCAGCGUUUGAAAGAGUCGCUGAAUGCAUCUAUAUUUGUACUCAUGCUGACAACGCUGACAAAAACCUACCAGUGGCAACAGUAAUCUGUGAUGCUCACAAGACCGGGUAUGAAUGCAUGACAAGGCCAUUUGAUUCCUCACCGGAUUCAAGCACUGAAAUCUUGGAUAUUUACCGCGCAUAUAUGUUAGAGCUUUUUUUCCUGGCCAAUAAAGCUAACAUGUGCAAUCCACCACUUCCUUACAAGGAACUGAAAGAGCUGGUCGACAAAUCUGGUGAGAUAGAACAUGCAAGGCAAUACUCAGUAACAAAGUGAACCUGGGGUGCUUUCCUUUUCAACCAGCAAAGUGCAGU